rnacentral:sRNA from 1 species
AGAACAACCUCUCUCUCUCCAGCAGAGAGUGUCACCUCCUGCUUUAGGACCAUCAAGCUCUGCUAACUGAAUCUCAUCCUAAUUGCAGGAUCACAUUGCAAAGCUUUCACUCUUUCCCACCUUGCUUGUGGGUAAAUCUCUUCUGCGGAAUCUCAGAAAGUAAAGUUCCAUCCUAAGAAUAUUUCACAAAGAAUUUCCUUAAGAGCUGGACUGGGUGCUUGGUCUAAACUUUUGGAUGGUAAAGCCUUAUCUGCCUUUUCGAUUGGGACAUGGGUCCUACGAUGAUACACCAACCACUUGUGCUACCACCUGUCAAAACUUUGGAUGGCCCUACUUUCAGGUCUUGACCCCUGAAUUUAAGAAAUUCUUAAAGACAAUGUCAAAUAUGAUCCAAGAGAAAAUGUGAUUUGAGUCUGGAGACAAUUGUGCAUAUCGUCUAAUAAUAAAAACCCAUACUAGCCGAUAGAAAACAAUAUUCGAAAGAUUGCUACCACUAAAAAGAAAACUACUACAACUUGACAAGACUGCUGCAAACUUCAAUUUGUCAACCACAACUUGACAAGGUUGCUAUAAAACAAGAUUGCUAC